rnacentral:rRNA from 1 species
AGUAACGCGUAGAUCAUCUGCCCCUAUCACCGACAUAACUCUUGGAAACGGGAGCUAAUAUCGGAUGAGGUGAGCAAUCAUCAAAGUUUCGACGGAUAGGGAUGAGUCUGCGUCUGAUUAGGUAGUUGGUGAGGUAAUGGCUCACCAAGCCUACGAUCAGUAGCUGGUCUGAGAGGACGAACAGCCACACUGGAACUGAGACACGGUCCAG